rnacentral:rRNA from 1 species
AGAGUUUGAUCCUGGCUCAGGAUGAACGCUAGCGGCAGGCCUAACACAUGCAAGUCGAGGGGCAUCACGAGGUAGCAAUACUUUGGUGGCGACCGGCGCACGGGUGCGUAACGCGUAUGUAACCUACCUAUAACAGGGGCAUAACACUGAGAAAUUGGUACUAAUUCCCCAUAAUAUUCGGAGAGGCAUCUCUCCGGGUUGAAAACUCCGGUGGUUAUAGAUGGACAUGCGUUGUAUUAGCUAGUUGGUGAGGUAACGGCUCACCAAGGCAACGAUACAUAGGGGGACUGAGAGGUUAACCCCCCACACUGGUACUGAGACACGGACCAGACUCCUACGGGAGGCAGCAGUGAGGAAUAUUGGUCAAUGGACGCAAGUCUGAACCAGCCAUGCCGCGUGCAGGAAGACGGCUCUAUGAGUUGUAAACUGCUUUUGUACGAGGGUAAACUCACCUACGUGUAGGUGACUGAAAGUAUCGUACGAAUAAGGAUCGGCUAACUCCGUGCCAGCAGCCGCGGUAAUACGGAGGAUUCAAGCGUUAUCCGGAUUUAUUGGGUUUAAAGGGUGCGUAGGCGGUUUGAUAAGUUAGAGGUGAAAUCCCGGGGCUUAACUCCGGAACUGCCUCUAAUACUGUUAGACUAGAGAGUAGUUGCGGUAGGCGGAAUGUAUGGUGUAGCGGUGAAAUGCUUAGAGAUCAUACAGAACACCGAUUGCGAAGGCAGCUUACCAAACUAUAUCUGACGUUGAGGCACGAAAGCGUGGGGAGCAAACAGGAUUAGAUACCCUGGUAGUCCACGCAGUAAACGAUGAUAACUCGUUGUCGGCGAUACACAGUCGGUGACUAAGCGAAAGCGAUAAGUUAUCCACCUGGGGAGUACGUUCGCAAGAAUGAAACUCAAAGGAAUUGACGGGGGCCCGCACAAGCGGAGGAACAUGUGGUUUAAUUCGAUGAUACGCGAGGAACCUUACCCGGGCUUGAAAGUUACUGACGAUUCUGGAAACAGGAUUUCCCUUCGGGGCAGGAAACUAGGUGCUGCAUGGUUGUCGUCAGCUCGUGCCGUGAGGUGUCGGGUUAAGUCCCAUAACGAGCGCAACCCCUACCGUUAGUUGCCAUCAGGUCAAGCUGGGCACUCUGGCGGGACUGCCGGUGUAAGCCGAGAGGAAGGUGGGGAUGACGUCAAAUCAGCACGGCCCUUACGUCCGGGGCUACACA